GCAGUUUGUCUGUGUGUGUGUGUGUGUGUGUGUGUGUGUGUGUGUGUGUGUGUGUGUGUGUGUGUGUGUGUGUGUGUGUGUGUGUGUGUGUGUGUGUGUGUGUGUGUGUGUGUGUGUGUGUGUGUGUGUGUGUGUGUGUGUGUGUGUGUGUGUGUGUGCGUGUGCGGAGCUCUGUCUGGGAAGUGCCAGCGGUGGACUACCGUGUUCACGAGAACGUUGGGCUUUUCGGACCCUGAUUACAUAAUGCCCUGCGGUGUGUGUGGAUGGUGAAGCUCCGUCUGAGCAGCGAUUUAUUUAAUGUCCGCGUCCGGAUGCAGCUGCCACUGCUAACGCCGCCGGCGACUAAAAACAAACAACCCGGCAAGAAGCGUGCUAUUCGGCCUACCACUUCUGGUCCGGCCAAGCGUGCGAGGAAGAAUGCCGAUCAUCCCGGUCCCCGGUAUCCUCAACCAUCUUACCCACAAGUCCUCAACACUGAUAUCUUCCAGGUUCUACAAACCCUCGCAGAAUCCGUGAAAAGCCUCGGAGCAAGGAAGGACGAUGUCGAGACACCGAUCAAAACUCCCGGAUGGGUCCAGGCCCCCAACCCGCUGUCGUCAGUCGUCACGGCGCCCAUCAACUUCCUGCACACCCCGGCGCGCAACAAUCUGUCUCGGCUUCCUCCGCUAACACAGUCUACGCACCAGCCGCGUGUUCAGCCACCGUGCCUAUUGCCGUCUUGGCAAUCUUCGUCCCUAGCUCCCAAAUCUUUUUCAUUAUCUACAGCUCUACCAGUUCAGCAUCCGGGUAGGAGUUUCAUUACGUCCGCCGCGGCAACCGUUUACCAUCUUACUAAAAACAAUGUACUCCAUGGUAAAGAUGUCAAUCUUGCGGGUUUACUGUUACCUUCCCCUGCCAUAAAGCGACAAUGGGUUGAUUGUGGCGACGUGUCUGUUCUUUUAAAGACUACAGAUCCCAGACUAACGUGCAAUUUAUCUUUUGGCGAGUUCGUUAUUACUUUUGGUAUCUACAGAGACAUCAUGUGCUGAGUUUAACCUGAAAGGAGGAUCGAACUAGACGCUUACCUUGCCAUCAUCGCUGACCUCAACCAUUGGGGAACUCAAUUUUGAUAUCAAUUUUAUGAAUAUCAUUAAGCGUUCUCUGCCAAGUCAGCCCAAUGCAUAACCAUGUUAAACACUAGAAUCGACUGGUCUAUCACGGACACCGAGCUCCUGCUCUGCCAUUUCAGUGGCCACAAGUCGCUAUCGUGCACCAUCUGUAGUUCUCACGGACACAGAACGGUGCUAUACCAAAAGACUGCUACUACCUCUCCCGUUCCAUUCCCUGUCCAUGGUGGUGAACAUUAUUUGCAAGGACCCACACCCGAAAUCCACCUGCCCCUGCCGUCAAAGGCAGACAGGCCAAGGGAGGGCCCCUCCCUUCAUGAGAUUCUAAAAUCUCAUCCAUUUACCCCAAUUAACAUUCCUUCAUUAUCAAAUUUCUCUCGUCUCACCCAUACCCCUGUUUUGUAGACCAUCUUAUCGCGGGCCUUUCACAAGGGUUUCGGGUGGGAGUCUCCAGUCAGCUCAGGCUGAACCAGAAAUAGUGUCUGCUCUUCUGGCUAAAGAGGUCCACAAAAAGUACGUUAUUGGCCCAUUUAGUUCUCCCCCCUUCUCUCUUUUCUGCAUCAAUUCUCUCGGCGUCGCUACUCGGAGAUAGUCAGGGAAAAAACGUCUUAUUUUUGACAUGUCCUCUACUCACUCCGACUAUCACAACUUUCAACGAAUGUAUCCCACCAGCACCAGCACCAUUUUCUUUGUAAUAUGCCACCAUCGAUGACGCAAUUGCGUUUAAUAAAAUCGCAGGUCAGGGAGCCUGGCUUGCUAAAGCCGACAUUACGGAUGCUUUUAAAAUAAUGCCUAUUCAUCGUUCCGAUUGGCCGCUGUUCGGAGUUAAAUGGCCCAUUUGGUCCCAAAACCGAACAACAUAAUAUACCUCAACGAAGGCAGGAAAUUCUGGUAGUUUCUUCUUGCUUAUUGGAACGGUAUAUCUUUCUUCUAUAAUGAUGUGCCCAAACAAUCCGAUUCUCUCAAACUAUUGCAAUUAUUAAUAAACCGUGAUCUGCAUGGCCUACCAUUACUUCUCUGAUCAGACGUCUAACACGGCCGUUACUCCCAAUUUCAUCAUAAAUGCUGAGCAUAAACCCGGUCACUAUAAUGUUCUAGCUGAUUCUCUCUCUUGUUUUAGUUUCCAGGAAUUAAGACGCCUAUGCCCCGCAGCGAAUAUUGACCCAAUACUCAGCCCACCUUUCCACGAACUCCGGAUGGAUCAGGCAACAGUUUAAAUUCGCUGUUACUGUGCGUUCACACCAAACGCGACGGGGCGACAAGAUCCCAUACAAAGUGAACGUAGAGACGUGUAUCGGGCGAAUUUCUUCGCAAGAGAAACCGCCGAAAAGUUUUGAUUUGUCGCGCCACACUUUUGCCGUGCACAGGCGAGCGCUUUCACGAGGAUUUGUAGCGUGAAAAAUUCGCUCGAGUUGAAAUAUUUCAACUUUGAUGCGAAUUUAGCGUGAUUACGCGUGAUGACAGCCAAUCAGCUGUCACUUCCCGAUCAAGAUCAAACUGCUAAAUGGAGGAGAAAAUUAUUAUUUCGGCGUCCGCUCUGCCUGAGCUUUUUAAUUGCACCAUGUCUGGUUACAAGGACCGGACGGUGAAGGCAAGGGUCCGGCAGAAGGUGAGCCAAGAGGUUGGGCUAACUGGUACGUUUUUUAAAUUUACUUCACUUUAAAAGUUACUAUAUUCCAGCUAUUAAUUGUACUUAACUAUGAACCAAGCUAGUUAGUUAGCAGUUACCAUUCAACAGUUCAGUUCGGAUUACACAACGUAGUUUUAUUUCUUGUCAGAGGACGUCUGCCGCAAGAGACUGAAGGGCCUGAGUGACACCUACCUCAGGGAGAGACGAAAAGAGGCGGGAAAGAGGAGUGGGACAGCAGCAGGGCCAUCUAAGAGGUGGAAGUACUCUGCAAUCCUGUCUUUCCUCUACCCAUUUGUUACUCAGAGGGAGACCAGUAGCAAUAUGGGGCUGGGGGUCGAAGAAGACGGGAUUGCAGAAUACCCAGUCGAAGACCAGGGUUCAGAGGCAGCAGCAGGGACAGCGAAUAACCUAGGAGAAGAUCGAACCUGUACAAGCUGUGAGGAGCCGGAGGCUGCUGCUGCCUCUGAACCCAUUCCACCACCACCACCAACUGCUGCGGUCACCACAUCCCUAUUGCCCCAGUGAGGACACAGAAAAGAAGGAGAGUGGGGGGAGGGAGAGAUAGAGAAGUGCCUCCUGGAGGUGUUGAGGAGGCAGCCUCCACCUGCUCCAGUGCCUCCGCCUCCUCCUCCUCCAGCGCCUCUCUCCGAGGACGAGACAAACUUUUUUUGAAAGGGAUACUUCCUUCCCUGCAACGAUUGCCAAACCAUGCCAAAGAACACAUGAAAUUUCAAAUUUAUAAAUGAUUGCAUGACCCUAACAGUUACUAUAAUCCAGAACUGCUCAAUUUAGACAAUCAAUUUGGACCAUUCGGUGAAUUGGUUCACUGGGGUGACAAUCGUUGCAGGGAAUGAUCCAUGCCCAUUUUUUUUUGUUUACACACGCACACACACACACACACACACACACACACACACACACACACACACACACACACACACACACACACACACACACACGCCACAAUAAAUGAUUAUUUCUAUUAAAAAAAUGUGGCUUCAUUGAAUGGCCAUUUAAGUUGCUUGAGGGAUAUGUUGCAAAUUAUUUUGUGCCACUGAUUUUAGGGUCCAAGCAACUUUGCUUAAGGAAUUUUUUGUCAGUUAUGUUGUGCCCUGCUCGUUGAAGAGCACAACCAAGAACGGGAGGUCCAUACAGCGACAGUCAAAUGGAGAGGGCUGUGGCCGCAAUCGAUGGAGGAGGCAGUCAGGUGUGCAGGAAGACAACAACAGGAGUAUGAUGGACAGGGAUCUGACAUGGACAGGGAAUUUUUUUAUUUGAACAAUCAGAGGAAAUCAGGCCUACUGUAGGCCUAUGUAAAUAAGAUUAAAGAUGUCUAGGAUAGUAUAAAUGAUAACUGUAAAUGGCAGGUGUACUUUGCUUUUGAUGGAGCCAUAAUGUUCUAUUAAUAAAAAUAUUAAUAAAAUGCAUUUUAUUGAU
ensembl:lncRNA